AUUGAACGCUGGCGGCAGGCCUAACACAUGCAAGUCGAACGAGUGGCGGACGGGUGAGUAAUGUCUGGGAAACUGCCUGAUGGAGGGGGAUAACUACUGGAAACGGUAGCUAAUACCGCAUACCAUCGGAGGUGCCCAUAUGGGAUUAGCUAGUAGGUGGGGUAAAGGCUCACAUAGGCGACGAUCCCUAGCUGGUCUGAGAGUAUGACCGGCCACACUGGCACUGAGACACGGACACGCCUCCUACGGGAGGCAGCGGGGGGGAAUAGUGCACAAUGGGCGCAAGCCUGAUGCAGCCAUGCCGCGUGUAUGAAGAAGGCCUUCGGGUUGUAAAGUAGUUUCAGCGUGGAGGCGGUACCGGCAGAAGAAGCACCGGCUAACUACGUGCCAGCAGCCGCGGUAAUUC
rnacentral:rRNA from 1 species